rnacentral:tRNA from 1 species
GCCGCUUUAGCUCAGUUGGCAGAGCAUCACCUCUGUAAGGUGAAGGUCCCUAGUUCGACUCUAGGAGGCGGCUCCA